GGGGAUUUAGCUCAGUGGUAGAGCGCUUGCCUAGCAAGCACAAGGCCGUGGGUUCGGUCCCCAGUUCCGG
rnacentral:tRNA from 1 species